GACGAACGCUGGCGGCGUGCCUAACACAUGCAAGUCGAGCGAAUGAAGUUCCUUCGGGAAUGGAUUUAGCGGCGGACGGGUGAGUAACACGUGGGCAACCUGCCUCAUAGAGGGGAAUAGCCUUCCGAAAGGGAGAUUAAUACCGCAUAAGAUUGUAGUAUCGCAUGAUAAAGCAAUUAAAGGAGCAAUCCGCUAUGAGAUGGGCCCGCGGCGCAUUAGCUAGUUGGUGAGGUAACGGCUCACCAAGGCGACGAUGCGUAGCCGACCUGAGAGGGUGAUCGGCCACAUUGGGACUGAGACACGGCCCAGACUCCUACGGGAGGCAGCAGUGGGGAAUAUUGCACAAUGGGGGAAACCCUGAUGCAGCAACGCCGCGUGAGUGAUGACGGCCUGCGGGUUGUAAAGCUCUGUCUUCAGGGACGAUAAUGACGGUACCUGAGGAGGAAGCCACGGCUAACUACGUG
rnacentral:rRNA from 1 species